GGUGAGUGGAGUUGCUUUGCCUUGGAUGACAGGCGCGAGAAAAGUUGGAACGGUGUAAACUCUUUACAUGCAGCGUCGCUCCUCAAAAACAUAUGCUCUCCAUCGAGCUUCUAGUUUUCGGAGUUGAGACUGGGGAAAGUUGAGAUGGGAGCUGUGUUGGUCGGUGUAUUUUCCGCAAAAGAGGUAUCACUUUUUAAAAGUAUAAUCUCUUCAAACCUUUUUAACUUUUGGAGUUGAGACGGGACAUUCAAGCUGAAAUGGGAAUUAGCAUUCGAUUGGUCCUGAUAUUCAAAGCUUGUUUCGUACGUCCAUUCAAAUCAGGUCCACCACUUGGGUAGACCUUAGGAACUUCCAAAGUGCAAUGGAAGUUGCUUCCCUAGGCCAUGGGCCUCAAUGAUCACCCAUUGACCCCAUCCAGUUUCCGGCCCGGUGAGUGGAGUUGCUUUGCCUAGGAUGACAGGCGCGAGAAAAGUUGGAACGGUGUAAACUCUUUACAGGCAGCGUCGCUCCUCAAAAACAUAUGCUCUCCAUCGAGCUUCUAGUUUUCGGAGUUGAGACUGGGGAAAGUUGAGAAGGGAGCUGUGUUGGUCGGUUCUUUUUCCGCAAAAGAGGUAUCACUUUUUAAAAGUAUAAUCUCUUCAAACCUUUUUAACUUUUGGAGUUGAGACGGGACAUUCAAGCUGAAAUGGGAAUUAGCAUUCGAUUGGUCCUGAUAUUCAAAGUUUGUUUCGUACGUCCAUUCAAAUCAGGUCCACCACUUGGGUAGACCUUAGGAACUUCCAAAGUGCAAUGGAAGUUGCUUCCCUAGGCCAUGGGCCUCAAUGAUCACCCAUUGACCCCAUCCAG